GACCCUUUCAUCUCACACUCAGAAUGAUCUGGAGAGCAUAUACGGUACAGUUUAUGGACAAUUUAAUUGGUUUGACCCGGCCAGAACUGAGAAACCCUGGACCCAGUGAAGAAUUACCUGCUGCUGUAUACUGGUAAUGGACCGGGACUGUGCCAGUUAGCCAAUGCAGACCAAACUGGACUAGACAUAAAAGCCUGCAAUCUAUUGUUUUCCACUGAGUGGGACCAGGAAGGACCUUUACUAGCCUCUCGCCACAUCUCUCCAGGAUCAUUUACACAGACCAGUGAUCGGGAGGAAAGCCACGUGUUAAAAGUCAAGAAAAACAAAUAAAACAGGACAGGAGGGACACGAUACAGCAUCACUGUUAUGAUCGACAUUAUUAUGAGAAAAAAUCUGCGUCAUCCCCAUUACUGUCAACCCUGAAUAAGUUUACAGAAAGGGAGUUCUACGUUCAAAGUCAGAAUAGUUUUAUCGUGAAGAAAAAAAUGCUGUGUGUCUCUAAAUGGCUGCACCACUUCCAUUUCUGCCAUCCCACCCUUGUUUUUGCCACAGUGUUUCCCCCACUCACGAAAUAUUUGAUGACAUUCCAUAUCUCAUUUACCGGUAACGUAAAAGGGAACCUAUUAUAUUUUUUGCCUUAUUUUACUAUUUAAUAUCACCUCACACGUUAUAACAUCAAUAGAGAAAAGAGAGAAAAGCUCAGGGCUCGGACUAAUGACGUGAUGCCCAAUUCAGCUAUGUUGCCUAUAUUCAAUUUUAGCUUACAUCUGCAUUUACACUGGUUAACAUUUGAGGAAGACAACGUGUGGGGUGGACAUGGCUACUGAAAUAGAAAGUGAAUGUGGUGUUAUUUUGAACUUUCAAAAUCCCCCAAGGCUUAAAAGGCUGGAAACCUCCGUCUGUAUGAGUCCCACUGGUUUGAGCUCUCAUCCUCCAUAGCACUGGUCAAAAGACAUACGAGUUGCAUUGAUGGGAAUAUCUGCAAAAUGCAGGUAUCUGAUUCAUAUCUGAUUUCUUUACACAUACGAAUGAGAUCUUCGGAUUCUGAAACGUGUGCUUUUUUUUCCCCCCUGCUUACACCUUCAUGGCUCAUAUCUGACUUGUGCCACAUGGGAGGAGAAGUAUAAAAAUAUAAUGUAUAAUCAGAAUUGGGUCACUUUGAAUUUUGCGGCAGCAUAUGCAGCCUAACUGACAUCUGAUUUAUUUAUAAAAUCAUAUGCUUCAAGCAGCGCUCAUUCUCCCAAAACAAUCUACUUGAGUGGCAAUACGAGCAUGCAAUGCACAAAUCCAACAAAUAACUAGAAAUAACAAAAACAACAAUGUGUUUUCUGACAGCAGACAUAACAUGUGUCAGUAAGCAGGUAGCAUAUAGCCCAGGCAUGCACCUUUUAAGCGAGGCAUGUGCACAAUUGUAACUGAAAGACAAAAGCUGUCAUUAUGUUACAGAAUAAAAAGGAAAAGUCUGUUAUAUUUAGUGCACAGAGUUGAAGUGAUGCUCACAAGGACUGGGUGUGAUUCUCCUUGGCAGGCGUCCUGGUGCUCAGUCAAUCAGAGGAAAAUGUGCUGCUAAAGAGGCCCGAGCUAAUGUUGCCUUUUUUAAGUAAGAGGGUUUAAAUUAGGGGGUGCGUUACAGGCAGUUUGAGAUAAAUGGAGACAGUUUUGAAGAGUGAAACAAAGCACACGAGUCCCAGAAUUCAAAUAAAAAAAAGAUAUUACUGAUGCAAUGAGUAUGAUGGGUCCCCUUGAACGCCGUUUCUGAAGAGCUGCACCGUCAUGGCCGUCAGACUAAAUCACCUUUACAUUGACCCUCCAAAUAUUUCCGUUGCCCAAAUAAUAGCAUCUCUUUCACCACCUUUACCCAGAGUCCGAUGUAUGGGCCACGCCUGCCACGUGAGAUAUGUGUCGUCCAUAUGUGCGCGUACCAUUCCUCUGUAAAAUCACCAUCAUUAUACUCAUGGCACAGUUUGUUUCUGCCGAGGUGUGUGUUAGUAGAGGAAAAGCCUCAAAUCGUUUGACCCAUCGUAGUAGAAUCACCUUCCCCACCGGUUGUGUCCCCUCCCAUUUUUUCUUUUUCGUUUGGGCUUUAUCUUUUGUAUUUGUACAUAAAGCAAUUUCAAAUCUUAUAGUUUUGUACAUGUAAUUUUUAUGGUGUGUCAAUAUUUUCUAAUAAAAUGAAUCAAAAAUGGA